CACUAUUAUAAUUGUUUUACCUACUUGUUGCUUCUCCUUACUAUACUAUAACUACGCUCCUACUACUCUGUGGUAAUAUGCCGUCACACUAUGCUUCUACGCUUCUACUACGUACUUAUUAUUAGAUCACUGUAAUGGUUAGUAUACUACAGUAGAUCCCUACUGGAAAAACCCAAAACAAUAGAAACUGUAAUAGAAAUUCUAAUGGUUUUAAUGGUUAUAAUGGGAAUACCUGUGGGUAAUGGGUAAUAUGUUGGGUUCUAUUGGUGGAAUGUUUAUGUCUAGUGGAAACUAAUACAAAGCAUUAACUCCUAAUAGAAUAUGGCCCAAAAGACACUACAUUUGUUAAUGGUUUUAAUGGUAUUUGUAGUGGAAACCUUUCGAAUUUCUGUAAUGGUUUCUACUGUUUUUUUUUUUUUUCAUCAGGGAUAUUUGUUACUUCUACUAGCCACUAUGUUUAUUACUAUAUUACUAGCUAUGUGUUACUAUACCACUACUAACUACUCAUUGUAUUACUUCUUCCUAUACUACUGACUACAAUUUACUCCACCGCUUGAUACUAUAAUACUACUGCUAGCUGCUUGUUAGAAUACUAUUUUCCCUACACUCAUACUAGGGUUAGGGUUAGGGUUACAUCAUAGUGCUAUUACUGUAUGUACUUGUCACGUUUUUAUACUAUAAGAUACAUUAUACCACGAUGCUGUUGAACUCUUGAUUCUGAUUGGCUGAUUUUUUUUAGUAAAUGCUCAGCUAAAGUAGUUCCAGUCAGGUCUUGACCGCGUUACAGUUCCAUAUCACUUCACCGCGUUAACUGAACUAACGGAGAAGGUAGCCUAGUCAAGCCUGCGUUAUUAGCUCUAAAAUGACGUUUCGGAAUUAGCGACGGAGGCUUGAGACGGGAUGCGUAAUAAAUCAGUUCCACACAUAAGAGCUUCUUAAGGACAAAAACCUGAUAAACGUCUUGAAAUAAAACACCCGAACAACGUCUUGAGGUGUGGUAACUGUGAUCGUUUGUGAUUGGUUGUAAUUUGUGAUUGUCGCGGCCAAAAACGCUCGAUUUUACUGCUGCUUUUUUUCAAAAUUUGCAGUGCGACGUGCGGAGGUUUUUCGUUUUGUGCUUUCUUGUGGAAAACUACUCAAAUUGGCAAAAUCGCAAUCGCACAAAAAUGUUUUGCGCGGCCUUUUGUGGUGAUGUUAGUUGGUAAAUCAGACCUUUUUGCUGUACUCAUGUAAAUCGACACAUGUAAAUCGAAGAGGGUUUCGGCUGAAUCCGCGUUGUGAUGACGUCACAUGACGCGUCUCGGCCCGAAUCUACUCCGAAUAUAGCUCCGUUUGCUUGAUUUUACUUCUUACUACACUCCUACACACAUUAUACAUACUUCUAACUUACAAAUACUAGCUUUGUCGAGUAAUACUACACUACAGUUUGCUUCUUGUUACUACGCAAAUUGUACACACUACUUGUUACUGUUAUACUAUAAUUCUAGCUAUUCUAAACUAGACACUUAUUACUGUUUAUCACUAUAGUACUACUACUAGGUGCUUGUUACUAUGCCUUUUGCACUGUGUAUAUGUAUAUAUAUAUAUAUAUAUACACACACACACACACACACACACACACAUAUAUAUAGUAUCUAUCGAGCUUGUUUGUACUGUAUAUUACGCUAUAUUUGCUGAGAUAUAAAUAAACAAUGCUCUGUUUAUUUAUUAAAAUAUACAUACACAUUUUCUCAAACUACAUCAGUUCAUGUAGUGUGUGAAUGCAGUGAAUUGGGAAACAGUUCACAAGCAUGCACACACACACACACACAUCCAUAUGGUAUCACCUGCAGGGAGCCUAUAAGCCCUUAAACCUAAAUUUAGAGAGGAAGGUGCAGACACACACAGAGUCUCAGUGGCAGCACACACUACAAACACUGCUGCGUCAUCCGUUAGCACAGAGGAGGUGUGAGCGCACUGAUAAUAAGCUGCUCCAGUGUGUGUGUGUGUGUGUGUGUGUGUGUGUGUGUGAGUUACAAAAAGCCCCCACAUAAUCACCUCCAAAUAUUACACUUCACAUCAUCUCAGCCUGAAACGAGCUCCUUCACACACCGCUACUUCUACAGACUAACAGGAGCUGCUGAGCCAAGAGGAUAAAACACACCCUGGUCUCAGUGAGGAUGAGGAAUGUGAGGAGAGGAAGAGCAGUGAGAGAACUGAGCUGGAUCAAGGUGGAGGGUGUGGAGGGUGAAGAACAGCACAGGAGAGCACAUCUCACUCCGUCUCUGAAGAAACCUGCCUUUCUUCCGUCAACUCAAACGAGGGUUAGGGAAUGACUGGACACUUUUGAGGUCUAACCUCAAGCAAGUUAGAAAUAUGCAUAAGCUUAAAAAUCUAGAAAUGGUCACAAGUAACAAUGAAGAGACAGACAAAUGUCCCAAGCCAGGAAACUUUACAAACCCGGGUUUAAAUUAAUCCAUAUUAAACUAACAAGUGACAGUUAAGAACAGUGAAGAAAAUAAAGACUGAUAAAUAAAAAUACAUGACAGGAAACAGGAAGGACAACCAAAAGCAUAGCAUAGGACUCUGUUGCCAUGGGAACAGUAAUGCAGUGCAAAGCUAACAAUCAAUGCUUUUAGCAUUAAGCAGACUUGUGGGUUUUUUUUUUUUUUUUUAACCAAACAAGCAAAAAGAAGUGCACAAGGAAGAAUGGAAAGAUUCACAACUAAGCAUUCGAAGAGUAGCUCGACAGAAAUAGCCUGUAUUUGGUUAUCAUCACGUGUGUACGCUCGGCUGUCAUGUCAACUCUUCUAACUCCUCUUCACUUCACCAAGCAUUCCUGCUCUCGGGGAUCACAAUGUGAGCAGCAACGAGGCAAAAGAAUUGUCUAUUUAUGGAGAAAGAAUCUCCAAAGUGAGUGAGAGCAAAGCCGAGCACAAGAAAGUGUGUGGGCACUUUUACAAGACAAACCCGAAUUAUCGUUCUGUUGUUUACUCGAGCCUAGAAGCUCAAAAUGUCUGAAUCAUCUGUGAAAAUUAAACCCUACGAUGGAAAAUGACUGGCCUGAAGGUGGCUGCUGUCUAAACAGUAAGUCGUCCUGCGUUUACAAAGCCUACUGAAGGAUCAGUCACCAGUAGAUUCGUGCCAAAUUUAAAAUGACAUCUUGUAAUAUUUACAGUUUACAAUAUUACUGCAAGAUUGUACUAAAACCUUAGCCAAAUGCCCAUGCAUGUAAUUACAAUUCGACAUAAGAUAUGCGCCAUGUGUAAACAUAUUCAUUAGCGUGGUAGUUUACAUCUGUAGCCCGUUGUACCAGCUGAAUGUAAUGUUGAUGGUUGGUCCUAAACCUUACACUGAGAGGAGUUACUUUAAAACUAAGAAGCUAGACCAAUAUUUUACAUUUACAGUUAUAACCCGUAUCCAGCAUGAUUUAUUUGAUAGUCUCCAUCAAAAACAUGUCUUCAUGCUAGGGUCUAUGAAUACAAUCAAUCUAAAACCCUGUUAGUACAAGAAAACACACAAGGGGUGAGUUAUUUAUUUAUUUAUUUAUUUAUUUAUUUAAAAUUUGAAUAGAAUUUGUAAUCAAAUGUCCUCGCUGAUUUCAUAUUCAUUUUAUACUAUACAUAUUUAUACUAUAGGUUAUUGUUAUGUUGCAACGAAACUGUUAUUUUUAAUUAAACAGGAGGGAGUCGUUUAGCCACAGCGUAUGGAAAUGUUUUAAUAAAAAAGCAACGCGAUGGCUCUAGCUGAGCAUGCAAGGGUAGGAGUCUUCAUUAUUAAAUCUACAUUAUUGAACACUGCGGUGUAAAUGAGACACAUCCCAAUAUCAUAACAUUACAACGACGGCCUCCGCUUUGAUGAUUAUUUUCGGAUAUGAGGUCAGGACACUGGGCUUGGCUGAUAUCUCUUACAUAACUGACUACAAAAUAAGCAGCAAUUGACAAAAAAAAAAAGUCCCACUAGAAGUCUGAGUGUAUUUAUUAAGUCUGAAUGCAAUAUUCGAGUCAGACAUGAAUCAAGACCCUGAGUUUUAUGAUUUCUGGCCUCGUGGCGUUUUUAAUAAGAGCUCUGCGCACUGGGAGCACUGGACAUUUUACAAGCAUUUAUAGACCCGAGGAUAACGGUCUAAAUCAUAACUCCGGCUUUUCACAGAGUUAUGAAGCCAGACUGAUCUAAUCGAAUAAGACGGCAGGAGAGAAACAAACCGAACAGACGGCAUAGGUCCGACAAACCAGCGGCAAGCCACGUCCGUGCUGGACUGGAUAACAGACUCGCCGACUGACCAUCGGAUUUGAUCAGAUCAAUCUAAAUACAGUCAGUGCCAUCGAUUCCUCCACCUCCUUGAUAUGACAUCAUUCAAAAGGGGCUGCAAAAACAACCAAAAAACCAGGAGAGUGUUAAAUCUCGUUUAUGGGCCAUUCAGUACUACACGGCAGCGGCUAAUCGAACACUGCGGACCUAUUACAAAUCCAUUAGGUGGAUAAUUACUUCAGCAGACACACCAUGUCUUAGACACGCUGCGAUUGGUUCGGCAUCGACAGACAGCGGAUUAACAACGCUGUCGUAAAAUCUCACGACGAGGUUGGCCCCUUGUCCAGGGGGUCCCCCGCCUUAUGUCCCGAGUCCCCAAGGAUAAGCUCCAGGCUCCCUGCGACUGGAUAGAUGCUACAUAUAUUCAAGUAAGGAGUGUGGGUUGCUGUUAUAGUACUGUUCAUACUGUAUACACAUAGUAAUAUGCUGUCAUACUGAGUGAUGGGGUAGUGUGAUGAAGCUGCGUUACACCCUGAAGGGCAGGGGUAGCUCAGUGAUUAAGAUAACUACCGCUCAGAAGGUCGUAAGUCCAAAUCCCAGCACCACCAAGCUGCCACUGUUGGCCCUUGAGCAAGGCCCUUAACCCUCAACUGCUCA